rnacentral:rRNA from 1 species
CCUGAUGCAGCCAUGCCGCGUGUGUGAUGAAGGCCUUCGGGUUGUAAAGUACUUUUGGCAGGGAAGAAAGGGUAUCCCCUAAUACGGGAUACUGCUGACGGUAUCUGCAGAAUAAGCACCGGCUAACUACGUGCCAGC